UUAAAAAGGUAAUAGAGAGGUUAUAUGGCUGGCUUGAAACCAGUAGACGUGGGUUCGAUUCCUACCCUUUUUG
rnacentral:tRNA from 1 species